UGCCGGUUGAUCCUGCCGGAAGUGACCUACUUAUAGGGUUCGAUUAAUCCAUGCGAGUCGAGAGGGUUGGGCCCUCGGCGUACUGCUCAGUAACACGUGGAUAACCUGCCCUAGGGAAGGGGAUAACCCCGGGAAACUGGGGAUAAUACCCUAUAGGUUACAGAUGCUGGAAUGCUCUGUAACCCAAAGUUCCGGCGCCCUAGGAUGGAUCUGCGGCCGAUUAGGUUGUUGUUGGGGUAAUGGCCCAACAAGCCAGUAAUCGGUACGGGUUGUGGGAGCAAGAGCCCGGAGUUGGAUUCUGAGACACGAAUCCAGGCCCUACGGGGCGCAGCAGGCGCGAAAACUUUACAAUGCGGGCAACCGUGAUAAGGGAACCUCGAGUGCCUGUAAAUGCAGGCUGUUCAGAUGCCUAAAACACAUCUGGAGAAAGGGCCGGGCAAGACCGGUGCCAGCCGCCGCGGUAAUACCGGCGGCUCGAGUGGUGGCCACUUUUAUUGGGCUUAAAGCGUUCGUAGCUGGGUUGUUAAGUCUCUUGGGAAAUCUGGCGGCUUAACCGUCAGGCGUCUAAGGGAUACUGGCAAUCUUGGAACCGGGAGAGGUGAGGGGUACUUCGGGGGUAGGAGUGAAAUCCUGUAAUCCUCGAGGGACCACCUGUGGCGAAGGCGCCUCACCAGAACGGCUUCGACAGUGAGGGACGAAAGCUGGGGGAGCAAACCGGAUUAGAUACCCGGGUAGUCCCAGCCGUAAACUAUGCGCGUUAGGUGUAUCGGUGACCACGAGUUACCGAGGUGCCGAAGGGAAACCGUGAAACGUGCCGCCUGGGAAGUACGGUCGCAAGGCUGAAACUUAAAGGAAUUGGCGGGGGAGCACCACAACAGGUGGAGCCUGCGGUUUAAUAGUUAGAACGCCGGA
rnacentral:rRNA from 1 species